UGGUGUCAGGAAGCCUUGGAAUAACAGU
rnacentral:piRNA from 1 species